rnacentral:rRNA from 1 species
GACGAACGCUGGCGGCGUGGAUUAGGCAUGCAAGUCGAACGGUAUCAUCCUUCGGGGGUGAGAGAGUGGCGAACUGGUGAGUAACACGUAGGUUAUCUACCCUCAAGACGGGGACAACCCAGGGAAACUUGGGCUAAUACCGGAUGUGAGCAACUUUAGUUGUUUGAAAGGUGGCGUAAGCUGUCGCUUGGGGAUGAGCCUGCGUCCUAUUAGUUAGUUGGUGAGGUAACGGCUCACCUAGACAAUGAUAGGUAGGCGGCCUUAACGGGUGGUCGCCCACACUGGGAUUGAGAUACGGCCCAGACUCCUACGGGAGGCAGCAGUCGAGAAUAGUCUACAAUGGUCGGAAGACUGAUAGUGCGACGCCGCGUGAACGAUGAAUCCCUUCGGGGUGUAAAGUUCUUUUAUAUGUGAGCAGUGCUUCUUAUAUUAACAGUAUGGGGAGAGAGAUAUUAGCAUAUGAAUAAGCAACGGCUAACUCCGUG